rnacentral:misc_RNA from 1 species
GAUGAAGAACGCAGCGAAAUGCGAUAAGUAGUGUGAAUUGCAGAAUUCAGUGAAUCAUCGAAUCUUUGAACGCACAUUGCGGCCAUAGGUAUUCCUUUGGCCAUGCCUGUUCGAGCGUCAUUUACACCCUCAAGCCUAGCUUGGUGUUGGGCGCCUGUCCCGCCGUUUUCGCGCGCGGACUCGCCUCAAAGUCAUUGGCGGCGGUCGUGCCGGCCCCCUCGCGCAGCACAUUUGCGCUUCUCGGAGGCCCGGCGGAUCCGCGCUCCAGCAAGACCUUUCACGACUUGACCUCGGAUCAGGUAGGGAUACCCGCUGAACUUAAGCAUAUCAAAAAGCGGAGGA